rnacentral:rRNA from 1 species
CAGGGCUUUCGUCUUGUAAUUGGAAUGAUGGUGAUGUACAACCUCACCAGAGUACCAAUUGGAGGGCAAGUCUGGUGCCAGCAGCCGCGGUAAUUCCAGCUCCAAUAGCGUAUAUUAGACUUGUUGCAGUUAAAAAGCUCGUAGUUGUAUUUCAGCCUCGCGUUUUUUCCCACUUUUUGGGUCUUUUCGCUGGCUUUCUUUUUACUUUGAGAAAAUUAGAGUGUUUCAAGCAGACUUUUGUCUUGAAUACUUCAGCAUGGAAUAAUAGAGUAGGACCUUGGUUCUAUUUUGUUGGUUUUGAGCCUUGGUAAUGGUUAAUAGGAACGGUUGGGGGCAUUCGUAUUUAACUGUCAGAGGUGAAAUUCUUAGAUUUGUUAAAGACGAACCACUGCGAAAGCAUUUGCCAAGGACGUUUUCAUUAAUCAAGAAC